rnacentral:rRNA from 1 species
UACGUAGGGCGCAAGCGUUGUCCGGAAUUAUUGGGCGUAAAGGGCGCGUAGGUGGCCCAGUCAGCGUGCGGUGAAAGCUCGGGGCUCAACCCCGGGUCGGCCGUGCGAACUACUGGGCUGGAGCACUGUAGAGGCAGGCGGAAUUCCGGGUGUAGCGGUGGAAUGCGUAGAGAUCCGGAAGAACACCGGUGGCGAAGGCGGCCUGCUGGGCAGUUGCUGACACUGAGGCGCGACAGCGUGGGGAGCAAACAGG